rnacentral:other from 1 species
UGUACCCUGCUGUGCGCGAGUAAGCUGAAGUUAUGAACCAACACCUUUUACCUAGGGGUCCGGACUCUGACUGUGGCGUGUAGGCCGCCAACAAGUUGUCGGAACACAAAAGCAGUCAGGAGGACACCCACCCUGCUUGAGCAGGUUCAGGUAACAUUCAGCUAAGACGGUAUGGCGGGGGCAUU